UACGUAGGGUGCAAGCGUUGUCCGGAAUUAUUGGGCGUAAAGAGCUCGUAGGCGGCUUGUCGCGUCGACUGUGAAAACCUGGGGCUUAACUCCGGGCCUGCAGUCGAUACGGGCAAGCUAGAGUUCGGUAGGGGAGACUGGAAUUCCUGGUGUAGCGGUGAAAUGCGCAGAUAUCGGGAAGAACACCCGUGGCGAAGGCGGCACUCUGGGACGGUACUGACGCUGAGACGCGAAAGCGUGGGGAGCGAACAGG
rnacentral:rRNA from 1 species